AGAAUCAACGCUGGCGGCGUGCCUAACACAUGCAAGUCGCACGAGAAAGUGGAGCAAUCCAUGAGUAAAGUGGCGCACGGGUGAGUAACACGUGAAUUAUCUACCUUCGAGUGGGGAAUAACUGAGAGAAAUCUUAGCUAAUACCGCAUAACACUUACGAGUCAAAGCAGCAAUGCGCUUGGAGAGGAGUUCGCGGCCGAUUAGUUAGUUGGCGGGGUAAUGGCCCACCAAGACGAUGAUCGGUA
rnacentral:rRNA from 1 species